AUUGAACGCUGGCGGCAGGCUUAACACAUGCAAGUCGAGCGGUAGCACAGGGGAGCUUGCUCCCUGGGUGACGAGCGGCGGACGGGUGAGUAAUGUCUGGGAAACUGCCUGAUGGAGGGGGAUAACUACUGGAAACGGUAGCUAAUACCGCAUAACGUCGCAAGACCAAAGAGGGGGACCUUCGGGCCUCUUGCCAUCAGAUGUGCCCAGAUGGGAUUAGCUAGUAGGUGGGGUAAUGGCUCACCUAGGCGACGAUCCCUAGCUGGUCUGAGAGGAUGACCAGCCACACUGGAACUGAGACACGGUCCAGACUCCUACGGGAGGCAGCAGUGGGAAUAUUGCACAAUGGGCGCAAGCCUGAUGCAGCCAUGCCGCGUGUGUGAAGAAGGCCUUCGGGUUGUAAAGCACUUUCAGCGAGGAGGAAGGUGGUGAGCUUAAUACGUUCAUCAAUUGACGUUACUCGCAGAAGAAGCACCGGCUAACUCCGU
rnacentral:rRNA from 1 species